rnacentral:rRNA from 1 species
CAGUAGCCGCGGGAAUACGUAGGGCGCAAGCGUUAUCCGGAAUUAUUGGGCGUAAAGAGCUCGUAGGCGGUUUGUCGCGUCUGCCGUGAAAGUCCGGGGCUCAACCCCGGAUCUGCGGUGGGUACGGGCAGACUAGAGCGAUGUAGGAGAGACUGGAAUUCCUGGUGUAGCGGUGAAAUGCGCAGAUAUCAGGAGGAACACCGAUGGCGAAGGCAGGUCCCUGGGCAUUAACUGACGCUGAGGAGCGAAAGCAUGGGGAGCGAACAGGAUUAGAUACCCCCGUAGUCCCUGUCUCUUAUAC